rnacentral:rRNA from 1 species
UACGAAGGGUGCAAGCGUUACUCGGAAUUACUGGGCGUAAAGCGUGCGUAGGCGGUUUGUUAAGUCCGUUGUGAAAGCCCUGGGCUCAACCUGGGAAUUGCAGUGGAUACUGGCGAGCUAGAGUGCGGUAGAGGAUGGUGGAAUUCCCGGUGUAGCGGUGAAAUGCGUAGAGAUCGGGAGGAACGACCCGUGGCGCAAGGCGGCCAAGUCUCGGACCGCACGUGACGCUGAUGAGCGAAAGCUAGGGGAGCAAAC